rnacentral:rRNA from 1 species
GACAGAGGGUGCAAACGUUGUUCGGAAUUACUGGGCGUAAAGCGCGUGUAGGCGGCUCGGCAAGUCGGGUGGGAAAGCCCUGGGCUUAACCUAGGAAGUGCACUCGAAACUGCCAAGCUUGAGUUCUGGAGAGGAAGGCGGAAUUCUCGGUGUAGAGGUGAAAUUCGUAGAUAUCGAGAGGAACACCGGUGGCUAAGGCGGCCUUCUGGACAGCAACUGACGCUGAGACGCGAAAGCGUGGGGAGCAAACAGG